GUCCCCGAAGGCUUCCCAUGGGCAGACCACGGUGAUGUCGGUGCCCAGACCCUCCAUGCCGGGAAUGUCGUCUCCGAAUCUGAGGAUGGAAAAGUCAGAGUGAGAAAGUGAAUUCCCAGACUUUCCCAGACCAGCUGAGAUAAGACCCUGGAGUUCCAUCCUGGUUGGACGGACCUGUGAGUCCAGACACCUGCCACCUGUCCCACACUGACACGUAAGCCAACGUCCUCUCACCCCAACUUAUCAUCAACACCUUGCUGGUUCUCACGAAGCCUCCAAUCACAUCAGAGCGGUGGUGCAGCG